CAGCCGCCGCGGUAAUGCGUAGGUCCCGAGCGUUGUCCGGAUUUAUUGGGCGUAAAGGGAGCGCAGGCGGUUUAGUAAGUCUGAAGUUAAAGGCAUUGGCUCAACCAAUGUAUGCUUUGGAAACUGUUAGACUUGAGUGCAGAAGGGGAGAGUGGAAUUCCAUGUGUAGCGGUGAAAUGCGUAGAUAUAUGGAGGAGCACCGGUGGCGAAAGCGGCUCUCUGGUCUGUCACUGACGCUGAGGCUCGAAAGCGUGGGUAGCGAACAGGAUUAGAUACCCGUGUAGUCCCUGUCUCUUAUACC
rnacentral:rRNA from 1 species